rnacentral:rRNA from 1 species
ACGAACGCUGGCGGCGUGCUUAACACAUGCAAGUCGAACGGAAAGGCCUCUUUCGGGGGGUACUCGAGUGGCGAACGGGUGAGUAACACGUGAGUAACCUGCCCUUGACUUUGGGAUAACUUCAGGAAACUGGGGCUAAUACCGGAAAGGAGCUCCUGCUGCAGGGGGGGGGUUGGAAAGUUUCGGCGGUUGGGGAUGGACUCGCGGCUUAUCAGCUUGUUGGUGGGGUAGUGGCUUACCAAGGCUUUGACGGGUAGCCGGCCUGAGAGGGUGACCGGCCACAUUGGGACUGAGAUACGGCCCAGACUCCUACGGGAGGCAGCAGUGGGGAAUAUUGCACAAUGGGUGGAAGCCUGAUGCAGCAACGCCGUGUGCGGGAGGACGGCCUUCGGGUUGUAAACCGCUUUCGCUCAUGACGAAGCUUUGUGUGACGGUAGUGGGUAAAGAAGCACCGGCUAACUACGUG